GUGGGAUUCUGCCUGAUCAAUUUUGUCAUCAUUCCUGCCUCCUGGGGCCAUUCUGCCUUGGCAGUGUUUUGCAUCACCAGCAAACAGCACGGAAGACAAUGCAAUGAUUCCCAUGAAGAGAAGUGUGUAAGGGCUGUGCUUUGUUUUGGGAGGAUUAGCAGUUGCAUACAACCCAUCACUGUAUUCUGGAAAGCUUUACUGUCAGUGACACUUACUCACUGGAGUUUCAAGACACUAUAAAAGUAUUAUGAGAUCAAACACUGGAGGGAGAGGGGCAUCCACAUGCCCAAGGGAGGUCCUGCUGCUGACAACUGCACUGUCCUGUAGUGGUCAGGGAUGCUUCAGGGCUGGUGGAGAGAAAAAUCCUGGGCACUGGCAGGCUUGCAGGGACUCCUGGGAGCUACUUGAAGAGACCUCAGGGUCAAAAGUCCAGAUCCAGAUGAUGUCAUCUUUUUGCCAAUUACACUCCUGUGUCAGCUGCAUCCAAGAAUACAGAAUGUCAAAGCCUCGGAGCUCCAAGAAAUGUCUCAGCUGGCACUUGACUCCCCUUGGCUUCUGAACACUGAGUACAUGUGCACAGAAGGCUUUUGCUAUUUCAUCUCAAAUCUGACAUCCCAAAUUGUAGAGCUCUCAUGGUGAGGACUGAUUUUGAUUCUGUGGUUUUGACUUCCCCACUCACAGUGAUAGCCACAAACACAAAUGUCCAGCCCACAGCUGGACAAAAACAUCAUGUGAUGGGUGAGCAGCUGGCUCACAGGGUGGGCACAAAGGGUUACAGUGAAUGGGGUGACAUCAGAUGGUCACCUGUCACCAGUGGGGUUCCACAGGGCUCCAUCCUCGGCCCUGUGCUCUUCAAUAUCUUCACAAAUUACUUGGAUGCAGGAUUUCCUCAUCCAAGAUGGGGAAAUAGUCUCAUAGAGACAAGUUUUGAGAGAGCUGAGCUGUUUACUGCUAUGUUGGUAUUCAGACCAUCAAGCCUUACUAAAAACAGCAAAUCAUGGAAUAACUUGUGUUUACUUAGAGAUUCUUAGUGAACCACUGUCAGCAUCUAAACAGCUUUUGACAUUUCAGAGCAUUUGACCAUGAGCAGAUUCAACCUUGAUGUUUGAAGACAAUAAAGCAAGAUGGGUGUCGCACAUUAAAUAUUAUUUUGUUUCCCAGUCAGAAUUCAUAACAUGAGCUCAUCUGAGCAUGUCACAGCUGUAGUCUAAAUCAGAGCCUGAGCAUCAUCCUCACAUUGCAUAUUUAACUUAGUAAAUAUUGUGCUUUCUUUGGUUUUGGCAGCAGGAGGCAGGAAGUUCUCAAAGUCCUUGUGUGGGCUCCUGAGUGCUGCAGCUCCUGACGAGAGGAUAUACAGAAGGAAUGUCCAAGGUCUUUAUACAGGCUUUGUCCUUGUCCUUUGUUCUAGCAGGCAGAGAGAGAGAACCAAAAGUAAUUUGAGAUAAUUGUUCAGGUUGCCUGGCCAUACACUGGCAUAACACAGCAGCACAGAGUGUGGAGGAAGUUCAUGGUGAUGCAACCCCUAAAAAGCCAAAUUGCCCCUUGUUGGUGCUUAAUUUGAGAAAACUGUAAAAAGGCAAUUAGAGAAAUGCAAUGUAUUUCUUUACACUUGGUUCUGCUCCAGAAUAAUAGACCAUCUGGUAUGGACUUUGUGAAGGGACAUGUAUCUGCCUCAGUGGUUUCAACAUGCCAAUGCCAAACUUAAAGACAAUUUUAAGGUAAGGACUAGAAGGCAGGGUGGGAUACAGGGUGGGUCCUGGUGAUCUGAACAGAGGAGCUGAAACAGCCCAUGCAGUUGCUUGUCCAGCCCAGAAACACCCAGUACCAGCUCAGCUCCUCCCUACCACCAAUGUGCCACUUCUUGUGGGACAGAUUACAUUAAGCCCCAUCUCUACUGCCACUUCAUAUCUGAGAAAGUUCAGCUGUCUAUUCAAAUCUAUCUCAAAG